rnacentral:rRNA from 1 species
GGUUAAGCGACUAAGCGUACACGGUGGAUGCCCUGGCAGUCAGAGGCGAUGAAGGACGUGCUAAUCUGCGAUAAGCGUCGGUAAGGUGAUAUGAACCGUUAUAACCGGCGAUUUCCGAAUGGGGAAACCCAGUGUGUUUCGACACACUAUCAUUAACUGAAUCCAUAGGUUAAUGAGGCGAACCGGGGGAACUGAAACAUCUAAGUACCCCGAGGAAAAGAAAUCAACCGAGAUUCCCCCAGUAGCGGCGAGCGAACGGGGAGGAGCCCAGAGCCUGAAUCAGUGUGUGUGUUAGUGGAAGCGUCUGGAAAGGCGCGCGAUACAGGGUGACAGCCCCGUACACAAAAAUGCACAUACUGUGAGCUCGAUGAGUAGGGCGGGACACGUGGUAUCCUGUCUGAAUAUGGGGGGACCAUCCUCCAAGGCUAAAUACUCCUGACUGACCGAUAGUGAACCAGUACCGUGAGGGAAAGGCGAAAAGAACCCCGGCGAGGGGAGUGAAAAAGAACCUGAAACCGUGUACGUACAAGCAGUGGGAGCCUCUUUUAUGGGGUGACUGCGUACCUUUUGUAUAAUGGGUCAGCGACUUAUAUUCUGUAGCAAGGUUAACCGAAUAGGGGAGCCGAAGGGAAACCGAGUCUUAACUGGGCGUUAAGUUGCAGGGUAUAGACCCGAAACCCGGUGAUCUAGCCAUGGGCAGGUUGAAGGUUGGGUAACACUAACUGGAGGACCGAACCGACUAAUGUUGAAAAAUUAGCGGAUGACUUGUGGCUGGGGGUGAAAGGCCAAUCAAACCGGGAGAUAGCUGGUUCUCCCCGAAAGCUAUUUAGGUAGCGCCUCGUGAAUUCAUCUCCGGGGGUAGAGCACUGUUUCGGCAAGGGGGUCAUCCCGACUUACCAACCCGAUGCAAACUGCGAAUACCGGAGAAUGUUAUCACGGGAGACACACGGCGGGUGCUAACGUCCGUCGUGAAGAGGGAAACAACCCAGACCGCCAGCUAAGGUCCCAAAGUCAUGGUUAAGUGGGAAACGAUGUGGGAAGGCCCAGACAGCCAGGAUGUUGGCUUAGAAGCAGCCAUCAUUUAAAGAAAGCGUAAUAGCUCACUGGUCGAGUCGGCCUGCGCGGAAGAUGUAACGGGGCUAAACCAUGCACCGAAGCUGCGGCAGCGACGCUUAUGCGUUGUUGGGUAGGGGAGCGUUCUGUAAGCCUGUGAAGGUGUACUGUGAGGUAUGCUGGAGGUAUCAGAAGUGCGAAUGCUGACAUAAGUAACGAUAAAGCGGGUGAAAAGCCCGCUCGCCGGAAGACCAAGGGUUCCUGUCCAACGUUAAUCGGGGCAGGGUGAGUCGACCCCUAAGGCGAGGCCGAAAGGCGUAGUCGAUGGGAAACAGGUUAAUAUUCCUGUACUUGGUGUUACUGCGAAGGGGGGACGGAGAAGGCUAUGUUGGCCGGGCGACGGUUGUCCCGGUUUAAGCGUGUAGGCUGGUUUUCCAGGCAAAUCCGGAAAAUCAAGGCUGAGGCGUGAUGACGAGGCACUACGGUGCUGAAGCAACAAAUGCCCUGCUUCCAGGAAAAGCCUCUAAGCAUCAGGUAACAUCAAAUCGUACCCCAAACCGACACAGGUGGUCAGGUAGAGAAUACCAAGGCGCUUGAGAGAACUCGGGUGAAGGAACUAGGCAAAAUGGUGCCGUAACUUCGGGAGAAGGCACGCUGAUAUGUAGGUGAAGCGACUUGCUCGUGGAGCUGAAAUCAGUCGAAGAUACCAGCUGGCUGCAACUGUUUAUUAAAAACACAGCACUGUGCAAACACGAAAGUGGACGUAUACGGUGUGACGCCUGCCCGGUGCCGGAAGGUUAAUUGAUGGGGUUAGCGGUAACGCGAAGCUCUUGAUCGAAGCCCCGGUAAACGGCGGCCGUAACUAUAACGGUCCUAAGGUAGCGAAAUUCCUUGUCGGGUAAGUUCCGACCUGCACGAAUGGCGUAAUGAUGGCCAGGCUGUCUCCACCCGAGACUCAGUGAAAUUGAACUCGCUGUGAAGAUGCAGUGUACCCGCGGCAAGACGGAAAGACCCCGUGAACCUUUACUAUAGCUUGACACUGAACAUUGAGCCUUGAUGUGUAGGAUAGGUGGGAGGCUUUGAAGUGUGGACGCCAGUCUGCAUGGAGCCGGCCUUGAAAUACCACCCUUUAAUGUUUGAUGUUCUAACGUUGGCCCGUAAUC